GAUGAACGCUAGCUACAGGCUUAACACAUGCAAGUCGCGGGGCAGCAUGGGGGUUGCUUGCAAUCCCCGAUGGCGACCGGCGCACGGGUGAGUAACGCGUAUCCAACCUGCCCUUCACCACGGGAUAACCCGGCGAAAGUCGGACUAAUACCGUAUGUUGUCCAUUGACGGCAUCCGAUUUGGACGAAAGGCUUGGCGGUGAGGGAUGGGGAUGCGUCCGAUUAGCCAGACGGCGGGGUAACGGCCCACCGUGGCUACGAUCGGUAGGGGUUCUGAGAGGAAGGUCCCCCACACUGGAACUGAGACACGGUCCAGACUCCUACGGGAGGCAGCAGUGAGGAAUAUUGGUCAAUGGGCGUAAGCCUGAACCAGCCAAGUAGCGUGCAGGAUGACGGCCCUAUGGGUUGUAAACUGCUUUUAUGCGGGGACAAAGUGGCCCACGUGUGGGCUUUUGCAGGUACCGCAUGAAUAAGGACCGGCUAAUUCCGUG
rnacentral:rRNA from 1 species